UACGUAGGGGGCAAGCGUUGUCCGGAUUUAUUGGGCGUAAAGAGCUCGUAGGCGGUUUGUUGCGUCUAUCGUGAAAACCUGCGGCUUAACUGUGGGCUUGCGGUGGAUACGGGCAGACUUGAGUUCGGUAGGGGAGACUGGAAUUCCUGGUGUAGCGGUGAAAUGCGCAGAUAUCAGGAAGAACACCCGUGGCGAAGGCGGUUCUCUGGGACGGUACUGACGCUGAGACGCGAAAGCGUGGGGAGCGAACAGG
rnacentral:rRNA from 1 species